CGAACGAAUUACCUUCGGGUAGUUAGUGGCGCACGGGUGCGUAACGCGUGGGAAUCUGCCCCUUGGUUCGGAAUAACAGUUGGAAACGACUGCUAAUACCGGAUGAUGACGUAAGUCCAAAGAUUUAUCGCCGAGGGAUGAGCCCGCGUAGGAUUAGGUAGUUGGUGUGGUAAAGGCGCACCAAGCCGACGAUCCUUAGCUGGUCUGAGAGGAUGAUCAGCCACACUGGGACUGAGACACGGCCCAGACUCCUACGGGAGGCAGCAGUGGGGAAUAUUGGACAAUGGGUGAAAGCCUGAUCCAGCAAUGCCGCGUGAGUGAUGAAGGCCUUAGGGUUGUAAAGCUCUUUUACCCGGGAUGAUAAUGACAGUACCGGGAGAAUAAGCUCCGGCUAACUCCGUGCCAG
rnacentral:rRNA from 1 species